UCAGAUCAAAAUUCGACUUCGCAUUUGAAGAAGCAGUUUGGAAAUUAUUCAAGUGUAAAAUACAUACUUUUGAUCCAAGCUUAUCUAUUAAGCAAUCACUGAUACCUUCGUUUGUAAAUUUCAACCUCAUUGGACUAUCUGGAAGAGAUAAUAAUUACACAGCACCAGAAAACAGGAGAGGGCAUAAUAGACUACUGCGAAAAACAUGGGUAAUGCAAAGGCUGUCUACAAUUCAAAGAUUUCUUUCUCAUGAACACAAAAAUAUCGAUAUACUUAAGAUGGACAUAGAAGGAUGGGAAUGGGACGCCUUGCCUGAUAUGCUAAAUGUGGGAGUUUUAAGUAAAGUUAAACAACUUUGCCUUGAAGUACAUUUUGGAUUCAGUUUUACCCGUGUAGUUGAAAACAAAAAAGCCACUUGGAAGUUUACGUCAAAUACGUGGGGCGAUGUUCCGAUAAAGAAUCAAAUCAAGACAUUGAAACGUUUACAUGAUGCUGGCUUUAGAAUAUUCAAUUUUCAACCAUUCAAAUGGGGAUCACUCUAUGUCCAAGACAGAACUAUAAGUACUCUUAAUGAGUUAUCGUUAAUAAAUAUAAAUUACAGUGAAUAGUUAUACUAUGAACCAUUUCAGGUAAAGUAGUUUUCUUGGUUUUGAACAAAAGUUUUUCUACCUUAAAGAUAUGUAUUGAUGAAUCAUUUUAAAUAGCGUGUCUAAAUAUUCGAAACUAGAAAAGUCACAUUCGUUUUAUUUAUAUGUUUCUAAUAUGAAACUCAAGACUAUAAGAUUCUUUCACUGGU
rnacentral:lncRNA from 1 species